rnacentral:lncRNA from 1 species
UUGAUCUUGAAUCCUCUAAGUUGGAGACCUUGCUCUUCAUACCUGAGAAUUUAGGAUCAACCCUCCUUGCUUGGACCCUUUGUAAGUGUCCCCUUUCAUGCUUAAUUUAGGAGCCCAGUAAAAGCUAUCCGUACUUGCUUGGUGGUAUACGGCUGGGAUUAAAUUUAUAUUUAGCUCAGUGCAGGUACUACGCGUAAUAGGCUGGUUUCUCCUAGCAUCAAAUAGAAGUCUCGCAAGCUUAGAUGCCUGAAGUCUGUUGAACAAUGUUUUAUUUUAUUUGCGAUCCGCCUGUGGAUCUUUUACUUUCCGUAAUGUAAUACUUGGAUAUUACUUCAUAUCGGAUUGUAAUAUAUUUAUCUUUUGCUUCCGAU